CAGAUAGAGAGGAACAGGACGUCGGGCGAAAAGCUGAGCCGUCUGUCCGUUACUUUGCGUGUCGUUCGUUCUGGAAACCCUUGCCGCCCAACCACCCCCACACCCGCAGUAAUAGUUCGAGUGGCGGCCGCAGCACGACCCAAACACCCUCCCCUCCGGCCGCCGCACCCAUCUGUGACAACCGGCUAGGGUGUUCCUUUAGGUGACGCUAUCUCGUCGAUGGCUGGAGCUGGGUGAGACUAUGGAAGAUGCAGGCAUGGAGUUCCUCCUCAUGCUGUUGACAGGUUUCCCCUGCUUGAGGAAUUCACGGACAGCCAUGAGCAGCCGGAUCCGGUGCCUCUGGCUUUGCUGGCGAAUGGAGGAGCAGGAGCGGCGGUACAGGCGGAUUCUGAUGCUGGCUCUGAUUGUGGUUAGCAUAUCAGCGGCGACGGAAACGAUGCUGCGCGAGCUGGCGUUUGCCGACGACAGGAGAUGUCCCCCGCGAGGUCUGCGCUGUCUACUGACAGAGUAAAUCCCCAGGCCCCUGGAUGGACAAAAAGAUUAAGACCUGGUAGUGCGCCACCAGACCGGACUCCAUGUCCAUCCCGAAUGAGUGCUAUGGAGCAGUCAAUUCGGAAAUAUGUGGAGGAACCAACAAAAAGUGUAAUAAGACCUGAACUAGGAUUGAGUUUUGAUUCAUUGGGCGAAGCAUACGAUACGACUUCUACAAUCUGUACUCGUGGGAAAUUGGCUUUGGUAUUAGAUAUGGCAAGAGCCGGUUGAAUGCAGAGAGAACUAAAUGCAUGCAGGAAAUCGUCUGCGGAUGUUCGCCAGAGACGGAGAAUAGCAGAUCUUGCAGGUGCGAGUGUCUAGCCUUGAUUCGAUUGCUACACGUUGCGGAUAACAGUUGGUACUUAUAGAGCACCGUGAGAGCCACAACCACUCCAUGUCGUUGACUAUGGGCGAAAAAGUGCACUGGCCCUCCCACAAGCACAUGGAUGUGUACACUAAGGAUUUGAUAAAGCAGUUGAGGGAGAAUAAUGUGAAUGUUGGUAAUAGUUUUUUCAGAUCAGUCGAGAAGGUGCCAUUUAAAAAAAGGACUAUGAGCAACAUUUGCGGGAACAUAAGCCGUGAGCAGGCGGAGGAUGAUGUUCGGAAGACCUUGGAGGUGUUUGCAAACAUUGUUAAUGGUGACCCCAGGUUUACAUAUAAAGUUCUUGUAGAAAAGAGUAGCAAAGUGAAGAACCUCAUGUGGACAAAUGGGAGCAGCAGAAUGCAGUACAGAUUAUUUGGGGAUGUCGUAACUUUCGACACCACUUACUGGACAAACCUCUACAAUAUGCCUUUUGGACUAUUUGUUGGGGUCAACAAUCAUUUUCAGAGAAUAAUUUUUGCUGGUGUCUGAAUGAGGGACGAACAAGAAGUGAGUUUCGAAUGGGUGUUCUCGGAAUUCCUGGAAAUGAUGGGAGGCCCUGCUCCAAGGACUAUUCUGACAGACCAGAGCAGAGCCAUGGAAACAGGUGAUGCAAAUGGCAUGUCCUGAAGAAAAAAUCUGAUUUUUCAGGCUGAGUUCCACAAGGUUGUGAACCACAUGUUAAUCAUAGAUGAGUUUGAGGCAGCGUGGGGUAUUUUCUUAGAUAAAUACAACUCGAGGAAACAUACCAGCAUGACACAGUUGUAUGAGAUCAGAUUAAAGUGGGAUAAGCGGUGCUUCAAGGGAGUUUUCUGCGCCAAAAUGACAAGCAUUCAACGCAGCGAAAGUGCCAAUCACAUGCUAAAGACCUACAUUCCACCAGCGAGUCCAAUGCACGUGUUUGUGAGGCAAUACAUGAGGCUGCAGUUCGAUCGAGAGCGAGAGGAAAGCUAUGAGGAGAAGAGGACAAUGAUUGGUGGAGCAGUGAGGAGAACUAAUUUGGCAAUAGAACGGCAUGCAAGUAGGAUAUACACGAGAGCAAUGUUUGAAGAGUUCGGGCGACUACUGAUUGAAGCCACUGCCUACAAUAUCACCGAAAUAGAGAAGAUGAGAAAAUAUGUAACGGUCCACAACAAUGCAGCAAAAAGAAAAAAAAUGGAGCAGGGUUGAGUAUGAAGUGAACAUAAAUGAUGAUCAAUCGGAGUUUACAUGCGAAUGUGGUCAGUUUCAGCACACUGGGAUGUUGUGCAGCCAUGUUCUCAGGUGAUGGAAAUGCUUCACGUUGAAGAGAUCCCUGCCAAGCAUAUACAGAUAUACUGAAACGGUGGACAGAGGACGCGAGGGACAUACUGCCGGAACAUCUAGCACAGUAUCAGAGGGACAACUCGGUUAAUUUAUCCUUUACGUGUAGGCACUCGAAGCUUUACUUGAAAGCCAUGGAGGUGGCGAGGAUGGGUGAUGCGAGCGCGACAGCGUUCGGUCACAUGUAUACGGGUCUGGAGGCCCUGCUGCUGACUGGUGCACCUUUCGGCGAGAAGAGGGACGGCUUGGGUUUCAAGGACCGAAUGGCUGGCUUAACUCCUGGUACAUUGCCUGGCAAAUGGUGAGAUAGCGUAUGUGUGUGGCGAUGGUGCCGAGAAAUGCAUUAGCACGAGUAACACUGUUAGUGUGAAUAGUCUUCAUGGGCUAACAGCGCCGGAUUAGACUGGUGUAGGCAUGUUGGAUGCACAUGUAUGUCCUUGUCUUUUCGGCACCUGGGCAAAGAAAAGAGGGAGCAACGUGGCGACAAUUAUGUCGUGAUUGAAGAUGAUGACUUGCUUGCAACUGGUUGCAUAUACUUGUGUUGCAGAGGUCUUCUCGUAAGAUCCAGGGAUGAUGACAUUGAGUUGUGGAGAUCUUCGUGUUCAAUUGGUUAUUGUUUCUCUAA